UUAAUUUUUCAUGUAGUGCACUGCGGUUAAUCCUUGUGCUCACAGUAUACUUUAUUUAGAAUCACUGCAGAAUUCCUCCCCUUAUUUUUCUUCCUGAAAUUAGCCAGUAGUGCUAUGCUUCAGACUUCACAGGAGCCUAAAGGCUGGACUAUGUGUUUGUUUAUGCAGCUGCAUAUCCAGAGAGAACUGAGGAGCUGCUGUGGUCUCAGCCCACACUUUGGAACUGCUUGAAAUGGGGAUCUGACCCACAGUCCUGAUUAUUACCAAGUCACAAAGGAAGAAGCUGCUUGGAACAUGAUAUCCCAUGAAGAGUUUUUUAUUUGGGGCAAAGCAUGAAGAUGGUUGCAAACUGGAUCUUUAAUUUGAAGAUGGAAGAAAUACAGGUUCCUGAACUCAGUUCAACAUAUAGAUAACUACACCUUCAGAUACCUCCUGUGAAAUGAUGCCAGGUGAAUGCUGCUACUUUUUGACAAAAGAUCCUUUCACAUCUGCUUUUAGAAAGAGUCAAGUCAUUGAAGAAACACACAAGCACAAAGGAAAUGCGGGGCAGGAAUUAAGAUUUAGAAUAAAGGCAUGAUGAGAAGAGACAAGUUGGAAGCACCAGAAGAGACCACUGGUGAAGGAGCAAAGAUUUGCCCAUGCUGUUCCUUCACUGUUUCAAGGCUGGAAAUUUGCUUGCAAUCUUCAUUGCUCUCAGCUGAGAAGACCAUGGGAGAACCACCACCAGCAAUCUAACUGCUCAUGAAAUCUUUACACAUCUCUGUUUGAUUUCUCUUCUUGUGAUGAAAUCAUACUCUUUUACCAGUGACAAGCCAGUGUAAUUAUCAUGCUAUGAAAACAGACUGCAGAAGAAAGUGAAAUGGACAAAGAGGGAAAAAUGCUCUGGGUACUUGACUGCUGUCAACAAUUGACUGUUAGUCCUCAUUUUUAUCACAAAAAAAUUAAAAUUAUGUUGUCAAAGUCUUCCCCAGUAUAUCACAGUCGUUCUUUAAACAAAUGUGCUAAUUUUAACUUCUCCUGAGGUUGUAAAUCAGAAAUGCUAUUAUGUUUUUAUUUAGUGCCUGCUGAGAAACAAAAUAAAGAUGAAUCCUUGC